UGGGGAAUUUUGGACAAUGGGCGAAAGCCUGAUCCAGCAAUGCCGCGUGUGUGAAGAAGGCCUUCGGGUUGUAAAGCACUUUUGUCCGGAAAGAAAUCCUUGGCUCUAAUACAGUCGGGGGAUACGGUACCGGAAGAAUAAGCACCGGCUAACUACGUGCCAGCAGCCGCGGUAAUACGUAGGGUGCAAGCGUUAAUCGGAAUUACUGGGCGUAAAGCGUGCGCAGGCGGUUUGCUAAGACCGAUGUGAAAUCCCCGGGCUCAACCUGGGACUGCAUUGGUGACUGGCAGGCUAGAGNAUGGCAGAGGGGGGUAGAAUUCCACGUGUANCAGUGAAAUGCGUAGAGAUGUGGAGGAAUACCGAUGGCGAAGGCAGCCCCCUGGGCCAAUACUGACGCUCAUGCACGAAAGCGUGGGGAGCAAAACAGGAUUAGAUACCCUGGUAG
rnacentral:rRNA from 1 species